AGGUACGUGGUUCAGUGGUAGAACUCUUGCCUUCCAUGCAGGAGACCAAGGUUCGAUUCCCGGCCAAUUCA
rnacentral:tRNA from 1 species